AAAACCGACUCUCAUCCUACCAAACUUGUAUAUCAUCUUCUAGUUUUGCUAGGUAUUACAUGAUAUCCACUCAAGGCGUACGACUGUUCUCCAUGCCCUUCCUGUGUAUCUGCGUGAAGAUACCUCCGGAUGUUUCCAAACAUGUGUGGAUGGUUUGGAUGAGCCAGAUAUUGGGGAUGCGUCAGUUGUUCUCCUUACAACCAUCAGCGACAAUUCAAUGAGUCGAGUUCACUACCAACCAGAGAAAAUCUCAGUUGUCCUAGAGGGUGAUGUGGUGGCCACCCUCCCAAGACUCGCUGAUGCCUUUCUGGUAAUGUUCGGCCUUACCUAUGCACUACAUCUCAGCUAUCCCAAAGGACUGACCAACACCUUCGAAUUCACUCUUUGCAAGAAAACGGUAAAACUUGGAACAUUGGGUGUAAGGGCUUUAGAGUCACAUGCCCAGUCAGAUAAACACAAAACCCACGUGAAAAGCCAACUACAAACUCCUACCAUCUCGUCGGUGUUCGCCCCUGCUUCCGGACCAUCACCUGUGUCAAAUUGGACUUGUUUGACUUGU